rnacentral:lncRNA from 1 species
GGUGCUGUUGUUGAAGUGACUUGCAAGGCUGGUGACAAGGAAAUUGUGAGUUAUGGUACCACUAAGAACAAUGGCAAAUUUAGUAUCACAGUUGAAGGAUUUGAAUAUCACAAAUAUGGAGCAAAGGCUUGCAACGCUAAACUCCACAAUGCUCCAAAGGAUUCAAAGUGUAGCAUUCCUACAAACCUUCAUUGGGGAAUUAAGGGUGCUAACCUCAAAGUGAAGUCAAAGAAUAAAUAUGAAGUUGUCCUCUAUGCAAAACCAUUUGCAUAUGGCUCUAAGACACCUUAUGCAGAAUGCCAAAAGCCAAAGCCUACACCUGCACCAUACUACAAUAAAUCUCCUCCACCUCCAUCACCAAUUUAUGUUUACAAGUCACCACCUCCUCCAUCACCAAAGUAUGUGUACAAGUCACCACCUCCCCCAACCCCGACAUACGUUUACAAGUCUCCACCACCACCUGCUUACUAUUACAAAUCUCCACCUCCACCAUCACCAAAACCUGCACCGGUAUACUAUUACAAAUCUCCACCUCCACCAUCACCAAAACCUGCACCGGUAUACUAUUACAAAUCUCCACCUCCACCAUCACCAAAACCUGCACCGGUAUACUAUUACAAAUCUCCACCUCCACCAUCACCAAAACCUGCACCGGUAUACUAUUACAAAUCUCCACCUCCACCAUCACCAAAACCUGCACCGGUAUACUAUUACAAAUCUCCACCUCCACCAUCACCAAAACCUGCACCGGUAUACUAUUACAAAUCUCCACCUCCACCAUCACCAAAACCUGCACCGGUAUACUAUUACAAAUCUCCACCUCCACCAUCACCAAAACCUGCACCGGUAUACUAUUACAAAUCUCCACCUCCACCAUCACCAAAACCUGCACCGGUAUACUAUUACAAAUCUCCACCUCCACCAUCACCAAAACCUGCACCGGUAUACUAUUACAAAUCUCCACCUCCACCAUCACCAAAACCUGCACCGGUAUACUAUUACAAAUCUCCACCUCCACCAUCACCAAAACCUGCACCGGUAUACUAUUACAAAUCUCCACCUCCACCAUCACCAAAACCUGCACCGGUAUACUAUUACAAAUCUCCACCUCCACCAUCACCAAAACCUGCACCGGUAUACUAUUACAAAUCUCCACCUCCACCAUCACCAAAACCUGCACCGGUAUACUAUUACAAAUCUCCACCUCCACCAUCACCAAAACCUGCACCGGUAUACUAUUACAAAUCUCCACCUCCACCAUCACCAAAACCUGCACCGGUAUACUAUUACAAAUCUCCACCUCCACCAUCACCAAAACCUGCACCGGUAUACUAUUACAAAUCUCCACCUCCACCAUCACCAAAACCUGCACCGGUAUACUAUUACAAAUCUCCACCUCCACCAUCACCAAAACCUGCACCGGUAUACUAUUACAAAUCUCCACCUCCACCAUCACCAAAACCUGCACCGGUAUACUAUUACAAAUCUCCACCUCCACCAUCACCAAAACCUGCACCGGUAUACUAUUACAAAUCUCCACCUCCACCAUCACCAAAACCUGCACCGGUAUACUAUUACAAAUCUCCACCUCCACCAUCACCAAAACCUGCACCGGUAUACUAUUACAAAUCUCCACCUCCACCAUCACCAAAACCUGCACCGGUAUACUAUUACAAAUCUCCACCUCCACCAUCACCAAAACCUGCACCGGUAUACUAUUACAAAUCUCCACCUCCACCAUCACCAAAACCUGCACCGGUAUACUAUUACAAAUCUCCACCUCCACCAUCACCAAAACCUGCACCGGUAUACUAUUACAAAUCUCCACCUCCACCAUCACCAAAACCUGCACCGGUAUACUAUUACAAAUCUCCACCUCCACCAUCACCAAAACCUGCACCGGUAUACUAUUACAAAUCUCCACCUCCACCAUCACCAAAACCUGCACCGGUAUACUAUUACAAAUCUCCACCUCCACCAUCACCAAAACCUGCACCGGUAUACUAUUACAAAUCUCCACCUCCACCAUCACCAAAACCUGCACCGGUAUACUAUUACAAAUCUCCACCUCCACNAAUAGAUUUAAACGUCAAUGGUACAAAGCAAUUAAUUUAUGGAAUAAGAUAUUCAAUUUUUCAAUUGAAGGAUUGACUCUUCAUGGCAUGGAUCAAUUGACUUCUACUUCUCUUUUGGCCUUAUUGCACAUUGUUCUCUUAGUGCGUUCCCAUGAACGUAUCUAAACUUUGAUGUUUCCUAGAGUUUGUUUCUUUGUAAUUUAUUUUUAUAUCGAGGAUAUUGUCCUCUUUUGAUUCAUUUCUAUUAAUUAUUGUAUGUUUUUCUUGUAAUACCUUGUGUACUUUGUGCACAAAUCAAUAAGAAGAUCAAUUUAAUGAUAUUCACUUUCUUUUUUUUUUCUUUUUCUCUAUCUUUUAGCUCUGAACAAAUGUUACAAUUAAAUUAGUCUUCUCCAAAUAUAUAUAAACAAAUUAGAAAUGAAAUAACCUACAAUUAGUUAUUUUAAGAUCUUUAAUAUUGUCUUUAUAUAGAAGUAGUUAAAGAUAUGUUUACGUAAAACACACCUCUGUGUUUUCACAAUGCACUGGGGUACUUAGUACUUACCAUAAUUUUAAAAGAUGAACAUAUAGAAGGGAAGAAAAAAAUCAUUAAGAAAAAAAUCAUUUUCCUGUCUUCUUUUUGAAUGUGGCAAUAGAAUUAUAACAGGAUUGAAUACACUAAUGGUCCAUAUCAAAAACGAUGAGUGUUUACCAUUGAUUUAUGCAAGUCAGGAGGCCAGCUAACUCAUAAAAUACUCGCCCGAAGAGUACAUCACAAGACUAAAACCCAAAGGAAUUGACAAGACCUGCAUAAGGUGGAGCAUGCAACUUAAUUUGACACAACACGUAACAUGUAGUUAUCUAUUAGGUAACCUAGUAGUUAAAGAGUGAUGAAAUUAAAAUUCAAUUUUAGUAUGUGCCUUCUCAAAUUAAAAAGGAAAAAAUGCCCAACUGAAAACUUUUCCAAAAAUGUCAUAAAGGUCAAAAUUUUCAAUUCUUUUAUAUUUUUAAAAUGGGUAAAAUAUUAUAAUAUGUCUGACAUCAGAUAACUCUAUCCAUCAAAGUUUGGACAAAAGAGAAAAGUCACUCAUAUUUCCGCAACCACUAAAUAUUGAGACCUCAUGAUUCUCAUUCCAACACUAAUAAUUAUGUAAAAGUGUAAUACAAAAAAGGAAUUAAAUUCUAUGGCGAUCACAAUAACAACUUUUUAUUGUAUUAAUACAGUUGACUGAUAAAGUAAGUUAUUACUCAAUCUUUCAAGUUCACUUAUACAGACUUGUUACGAAGAGUGGCAUACUUAUUGUAGCUUGAUGUAACUUUAUAAUGUUAAAAUAUAUAUACACAUUGUUAGUACGCAGAACUUAAACUCAAAAGAAAAUAAAGAAAACUGAAACCACGGAUUUGUACUUUUUGAAUUAGUAGUAGUGCAUGCCAAGUCUCGGCAGGAAACCUCUUUUAUAAUCUUAUGGGGUACUAAUCGAAAAUGACAGAAAAUAAUUUUUAAUUACUCAUUUCAUGAACUGAUGCUUCUGAAAUAAAUAAUGAAAAAAUAUCAGAAUAAAAAAUAAUUGUCAAACUUAUUUUUAAAUAUCAUAACAUACUCACAGAUUUGGUGAAACAAUUUGAUGUCAAAGAAAAUGUUGGUAUUCUAAGUUUCUAUAACAUCAUUUCUAGUUGGCAACAAAUAAUUUGAAGCCAGCAACAAUCAGCCUACAUACUUAUAAUUUAUAAACCAUCUAUCCAUCACAGUAAAAAGGCUUAUUUGUGCUUUUAAUUAUCGACGUUAUUGCUCGAGACAAUUAGAGUUUCAAAAAGAAAAUAAAACAUUUUGAUCGUGUAUCUGAUAAGUGGCGGAACCACGGAUCCUAAUAGGGGGAUUCAGAAGAGAACAAAAGUAUGACACUUAGGUUUCAAACAUGUUGAGCAUGUUGCAUAGCGCGUUUUGGUAAAAGCCAGUAUGAGAUUCAGACGAUGACAUAGUAACGCAACUUAGCAUUUACCAGUGAUAAACUCCAUCAGUAUCAGUCUGUUUUUUACCAGCCAGCUCGUGUCCACGACAUAAAUAUACAUGUCCUGACCUGCUACAGAUCAACUGGCAAGUAAAGCAGGGGAAGAAAGAUUAAUUAAUUUGGCUAAGUCAGUCAAAAGUUGUUGUAGUUAUUUGUAAAUGCAGCACACUACAUAAUUCAUUAUCACCGAAUAUGCGUACUAGUUUAUUUUAUUCUAUUUAUUUAUUUUUUAAAUUAUGAAUCUUAGGGUGAAACAGAUAUAUGCUUAUCAGCCCACACCCUGGUUAUUGAAAAUAAAAUGGCAAGAGAGUGGAAAUAUUAAAAAAUAGCACUUUCUUUCCCUUAAGUCACUACAUGGCAUGUGUUUUUGUGUGCACAUUCAUAUGUAGUGUGUUCUCAUAGCAGGUAACAAACUACUUGAUUAAAAAAUAUAAUGUGGAAAUAUUCAAAGUGAUACAGAGAUGGACUUUAAUAAAUAAGAUGAGAACUUGUAGAUCCAGAAGUUGAGAGCUAUUAAUAUCUUUUUUUACACUUUAAUUAUCAAUCAGAGAUAUUGAAUUGGUCCUUCAGACAGCUCUUUACCAACAACUAUUUUAUCAAGAAAUUUUACUAUAUAUACAUUGGCCAAUGAAUCCAAAAAAGGCAUCACUUCUCAACUGAAAAACUAAAAGUUCUCUCCUUUCUUCUUCCCCUAACUAGCUAAACACAUUUUGGAGGGUAGGAGGUGUAACAUUCCGGCGAUAUGAGGCUUCAUAGUGGCGGCCCUACCAAGGGUCAUCGGUAUUUGCCACAAAUCUUAGUGGCAUUGGCCAUAUUGGCUGUUGCUAAUGUAGUGUCGGCAGACCCUUAUGUAUACUCUUCUCCACCACCUCCAACAUAUGAGUAUAAGUCGCCUCCUCCUCCUUCUCCUUCUCCACCACCACCUUAUGUGUACAAAUCACCACCUCCUCCCUCACCCUCUCCCCCGCCUCCAUAUGUUUAUAAGUCACCUCCUCCUCCUUCUCCAUCACCACCUCCUCCAUAUGUGUAUACGUCUCCACCCCCACCAUCACCAUCUCCACCACCACCAUAUGUAUAUAAGUCCCCACCACCUCCAUCACCAUCUCCACCACCACCAUAUGUGUAUAAGUCUCCACCACCUCCAUCGCCAUCUCAACCUCCACCAUAUUACUACAAGUCUCCUCCUCCGCAAUCACCUUCACCACCACCUCCAUAUUACUACAAGUCUCCACCUCCACCUUCACCAUCACCUCCACCACCAUACUAUUACAAAUCUCCACCACCGCCCUCACCAUCACCACCUCCACCAUAUUAUUAUAAGUCUCCACCACCACCUUCUCCACCACCACCUUCUCCUUCACCUCCUCCACCAUACUAUUACAAAUCUCCACCACCUCCUUCACCUUCUCCUCCACCACCUUAUUACUACAAGUCUCCACCUCCUCCAUCACCAUCACCACCACCACCAUACUAUUACAAGUCUCCUCCUCCACCAUCUCCAUCACCACCCCCACCUUACUACUACANGUAUUUGCCACAAAUCUUAGUGGCAUUGGCCAUAUUGGCUGUUGCUAAUGUAGUGUCGGCAGACCCUUAUGUAUACUCUUCUCCACCACCUCCAACAUAUGAGUAUAAGUCGCCUCCUCCUCCUUCUCCUUCUCCACCACCACCUUAUGUGUACAAAUCACCACCUCCUCCCUCACCCUCUCCCCCGCCUCCAUAUGUUUAUAAGUCACCUCCUCCUCCUUCUCCAUCACCACCUCCUCCAUAUGUGUAUACGUCUCCACCCCCACCAUCACCAUCUCCACCACCACCAUAUGUAUAUAAGUCCCCACCACCUCCAUCACCGUCUCCACCACCACCAUAUGUGUAUAAGUCUCCACCACCUCCAUUGCCAUCUCCACCUCCACCAUAUUACUACAAGUCUCCUCCUCCGCCAUCACCUUCACCACCACCUCCAUAUUACUACAAGUCUCCACCUCCACCUUCACCAUCACCUCCACCACCAUACUAUUACAAAUCUCCACCACCGCCCUCACCAUCACCACCUCCACCAUAUUAUUAUAAGUCUCCACCACCACCUUCUCCACCACCACCUUCUCCUUCACCUCCUCCACCAUACUAUUACAAAUCUCCACCACCUCCUUCACCUUCUCCUCCACCACCUUAUUACUACAAGUCUCCACCUCCUCCAUCACCAUCACCACCACCACCAUACUAUUACAAGUCUCCUCCUCCACCAUCUCCAUCACCACCCCCACCUUACUACUACAAGUCUCCACCACCGCCGGUUAAAUCACCUCCUCCCCCAUACUAUUACAGUUCUCCACCACCACCAGUAAAGUCUCCCCCUCCACCAUAUUACUACUCCUCACCACCACCACCAAAGAAAUCACCUCCCCCAACAUAUCAUUACACUUCUCCACCACCACCUGUUAAGUCAUCACCUCCUCCAUACUACUACUCCUCACCACCACCACCCAAGAAAUCACCUCCUCCACCAUAUCACUACAGUUCCCCACCACCACCAGUUAAGUCACCUCCAACUCCAUACUAUUACAAGUCACCACCACCACACUACUAUACUUCACCACCACCGACUCAUUACUAUCCUACACAUCAUCAAUUUGUAGUUAAAGUUGUCGGAAAAGUCUAUUGUUUUAGAUGCUAUGAUUGGAAGUACCCAGAAAUGUCUCACGGCAAGAAACACCUUAAAGGUAUCAUAGUCUUUAUAGUUUAUAAUAUACUACAUUCACAUUCUUUAUUUUCUUUUAAUCUAUAAUAAAAAAUUUCCUAACUAUAAAUCUUUUCUUUUUUUGUUGCUUUGUUUAUAAAGCUCUUAUCAGAACUCAUACAUAAAUGUUUGUAUGUUAAUUUGGACCUCUGAUCCAUUUCUGUUUUCGAAAUGUGAAAUUAAAAUCAAAAUUUUAAAACGUCAAGAAGUUUUACAAGGCAACAACUAUAAAUAUAAUAGUGACUAUAGAAUAAAAUAUAUUGAAAAUGGAAGUAGUUAGUUCUUUCUAGAAAAUAGAGGUAUUAAUUUAUCCUCACAUUGCAGACAAGUUGCUACAUUAACGUGCAAUUUAUUUCCCUUAUUAGAAAAAUAAAUUUGACCAUGUGAUGAAAAGGGUUUUAUUACAAAUUAUGGAUUAAUUAAUUUUUUUUACAUGGGUUAGGUGCUGUUGUUGAAGUGACUUGCAAGGCUGGUGACAAGAAAAUUGUGAGUUAUGGUACCACUAAGAACAAUGGCAAAUUUAGUAUCACAGUUGAAGGAUUUGAAUAUCACAAAUAUGGAGCAAAGGCUUGCAACGCUAAACUCCACAAUGCUCCAAAGGAUUCAAAGUGUAGCAUUCCUACAAACCUUCAUUGGGGAAUUAAGGGUGCUAACCUCAAAGUGAAGUCAAAGAAUAAAUAUGAAGUUGUCCUCUAUGCAAAACCAUUUGCAUAUGGCUCGAAGACACCUUAUGCAGAAUGCCAAAAGCCAAAGCCUACACCUGCACCAUACUACAAUAAAUCUCCUCCACCUCCAUCA